rnacentral:lncRNA from 10 species
CAGGGAAUGCAGCUGCCAGCAGCUCCAGAGAAAAUAUUCAUAAUGGUUAACAGCUGAGAGAUUCAGGAGACUGCCUGACUCCACCACUCACUAGCUUGACCAUGAGCAAAUUCCUUAACUGCCUUUUGCCUCUGUCCUCUUUUUAAUUUUUUUGAGGCACAGUAUCUCCAUGUUGCCUAGCCUGGUCUCGAACUCCUGGGCUCAAGUGAUCCUCCUGCCUUGGCUUCUGGAGUAGCUGGGACGACAGGUGAGUGCUACUGCACCUGGCUCUUCUUUUUUCAUAAUAGGGAUAAUAAUAGUACUUCUAGAUUGGUUGUGAAGAUCAAGUUAAGGAAAUAACCCAUGUAAAAUGCUUUAGGUGUGCCCAGCACCUAAUAAUCAAGCAGCAAGUAUGUUGUUUGUUAUUAUUUUUAAUUUUAGUUCUGUGAAUCGAGAAGUUACCAGAAGAGAAAUCCCAGGAGAGGACUGGGGCUGUUCCAGCUUGGGUGAAGGUCCAGGUGGCCAGGAGUUUGGAACACUAAGAUUGGCCUAGCCUGGGUCCCAAGCCCACGUUGGUGGUGGGGAUGAUGCGGCUCGGGAGGUGUCGAUCAAGUGUUACCAGAAAGUGGCAAGAAGGAGCUGUUCAUUUGCUCAUCCAGCAACUUAAAGAGCACCCAGAAUACACUAGACAAUAAAGACGGAGCAAUUACCAGGACAGGCUGGAAUACAGAUGUGUUGCUGACCAGCAAGCUCUGACCUUGUAUGAACAAAUACAGUAUCUAAAGGGAUGGCAGAGCAACCCAGUCAAAGGAACUGACUUCCUGAAUGAGCCUGCAUUCUAGAGCCACCCCAGCUCUGGAAUGCUCAUACCUAACUGUUCCCUGGAGAAAUGCCAACUUCUCUCUUGUUUGAAACACUGCAUUUUGGAUUUUCUUUUUAAUCAGUAUGAUCUGUAUUCUAACCAACACAAUGAGUUUCAGUCUCUUCUUCCCACUCUGCACACCACUGGUUCUAUUUGAAGACCUUCUUAAUAAGAUGAAUAGAUUCCUAGUGAAGCACACUCUUUCUACUAAAUAUAAGAUUCACUUUGUCUCAUACUGGGUGCUCUGCAGCCAGACUGCUUGAGUUUGUGUCUCAGGUGUCCUUUUACUUUCUAUAUGUGACCUUGACAAUGUUAGUCAACCUCUCUGUGUCUCAUGUUUCUCAUUUGUAAAAUGGAGAUUAAAAUAGUUUCUUCCUUCUCAGGUUGUUGGGAGAUUAGAUGAGAAUCUUAGUCUGUUCAGGUAUAACAAAAUAAUAUCAACUGGGUGGCUUAUAAACAGUAGAAAUUUAUUUCUCAUAGAUCUGUAGGCUGUAAGUCCAAGAUUAAGACACCAGCAGAUUCAGUAUCUGGUAAAGACUGGCUUUCUGGAUCACAAACGACAAUCAUCUCACUGCAUUUUCACAUGCUGGAAGAGCUGAGUAAGCUCUCUGAGGUCUCUUUCCUAAGGGCACUAAUCCCAUUCAUGAGGGCUUUACCACCAUGACAUAAUCACCUCCAAGAAUCCCACCUCCAAAUGCUAUCACAUUAGACAUUAAGAAUUAGCAUGAAUUUUGGGGGAAACAAACAUUCUGUCUAUACAUGCACAAGACCAAGAACAAUAUCUGGCAAAAGUAGGCUAUCAAUAAAUUUCAAAUUUUUUAUUAUUAUUUGUUUCAACUGGCUUUCAUUUUUUAUUAGAUUGUGCUACAGUAACAAACAGUUCCCAAAUCUCAGUGACUUACAACAAAAAAGCUUAUCUCCUUGCUCACCUUGCAUGAGAGCUACAGCUCUGUUUCAAAUAGCUCCUUCUUCCCAUGAUCAGGCUGUUUGAGACACUGGUGUUCUUGUGGAAGAGGUAAAAAAUAUAUAGAUAUAGCAGAACAACGCAAUAGCUUCCAAGAUACCUACAGAACUUCUGCUCACAUUUCAUUGGACAAAGCAAGUCACAUGGCCAAUCUUGAUAUCCCUAGGGUAGAGAAGCAUAACCCACUCACAUAGAGGGGCAGUGAAAAGUGGGAAAUAAUAAUGCAGUCUACCACAUUAUCAAUCUAGUGCCAAAGCUGUGGUGCGUAAAACCACAUUCUUUGACAGCUGCGAUUUUGCUGGCUCAACAACACACCUUCUUAACUCCCAAAGUGACAAAUGGAGAGGGAGAUGUUUGAUCCAUCUGUGCCCCUGAUUUUCCACGUCCCUGAUUUUUCUACCCCUGAUUUAAGUGAUCACAACAGCAUUUUAUAUUUUUCCUUUCUUAAUCCUUCCUUCUCCUACAACUAGGGAGGCAGGAGAAAUGGGUUUGAUGGUUUUUAGGCUGCAAGGCCAUAGAAAAACUUUGGGGGUAGAUUGUGUUAUUGCUCUCAACUCUUUAUUCUCCCUUUGUACAAAAGAAGUGUAUGUCCUGCCUGUUUCCAUGAAUAUUCAGUGUCUCUUAUGAGAAAAAGAAUAUACAGCCCAGUCCUAUUGACAUAGGGCUUGGCCAUGUAACUUGCUUUGGCCAAUAAAGUGGAAAUAGAUAUAACUUAUGCCACAUUUAAACAGAAGCCCUUUGCCAUAAGAGUAGCACGUUGUAAACAGGGGUUCCUUCACCCUGUAUCCCAAGCAAAGUCACAUCCAACAGAAGCGAAGCUUUGUUGCUGCAAACCACAGAGCAUUGGGCAUCAUUUGUUACCACGGCAGAGAGAAUCAAUGUGCCUUUUGAUUUAGCACCAUCUGUCAUCACACACCCACCUCAAUCCUUUGAAGUUGGGAGGUGCAGAGCUCUAUUUCUUGUCCCUCCCUCCCUUAAUGGGCAUCAAGAUUCUUCACAGGGAAAAUGUUCCACAGAGCAUGGGAGCUUAGUUCUUCUGAGUGGCCAGUUUUGCCUCCUGUGGAAAUAGGCUCUUGUGAAUAACACCAGCAGUAGUGUCUUCUUCUCUUCCCCUCCAGUAUCAUACACUCAUAUUCAAUCCUUGAUAUCAAAUUUGAUUCUCCUCUGAUUUCUUGGCAUACUAAUUUUUUUCUGUUUCCUGCUUGGAUAACUUAUCUCAUGCUCUCCAGAAAUACUUCAUGAACUAGAGCAAAGAAAGGCAGGUAAAAGGGUACAAUAGUGACAAACAGGCAAGACCCUGCCCUCAUAGAGCUUAGAUUCUAGUAGGAAAGACAGACAAGAAAUGAUAAACAAAAACGCAACGUCAGAUGGUGAGGAGUGCUAUGUAAGAAAAAUAAAUCAAAUAAGGGGAAUAAGAAUGACAGAGUUUUACAUUAGCCUGGGUGGGCUGGAGCAACUGCAUGUGUUAACACACUUUAGCAUGGUACCACUAUGUCCACACACCGUAGACUAUGUCUUUGGCUAAACCACAGGAUGUCGCUAGCAAAAAUCCUGAGUGCUGACCAUUUUCAGUAUCUUUAGCACAUAUGGUAUCAGUCACACCUGAGAAUAUCCCACUGUGUUCUACUUGCUGCUUUGAGAACCCCAGUGCUGUCUUCUUUCUUAAUUGUAGACCAAUGUGUUGAUGACUCACCUCAGGUUUGUGUAUUGCAUUGUUUUAAAAUAUUUCUCUUUGUGCCUCAAAUUUAGAAGGGAACUCAAGACAGCAGUGAGGAAACAAGAAAUAGGAGAAAAUAUUUGUUUGCAUUUGGCAAAAGAGAAGCCGAAAAAGAGCCUGGGCUGUUGCACUUUACAACUUUGCUCCCUUCCUCCACCCCUCGAAUUGGGGUUCAUUUAUAACAGGGAAGCAGCUUGACAAGAAGCAAAUAUGACUUAUCUGUAAUAUUUUAUUUAUUUUAAAAAAGAAAGAAAGACUAGAACCAAAUCUGACUAAACUUAAAACUUACUAAUUUUGCAUGGUAGAAAGAUGAAUGUUUGUCAUGUGGGUCUUUAUUCCCUUCUAUGUUUAAAAUGUAUCUUUAAAAAAAGGUUCUAAAGGAAAAAGAAGAACAGAAGAUUCAAAACAUUUGAUCAGAACAUUUGGUACCAGCCCUUGCAUUACCAUGUCAGUCUAUGUGUCCCUGAGCAAGUUAUUGAAGUUCUCUAAGCCUUGUGAUCAUAAGACCUGUCUUUUAGGAUGUGGUUAAUAUUAAAUCAGAAUAUGUAUGCAGAACACCCAGCAUUGGACCUAGAUUCAUAUGUUCUUAAUUCAUGGUGGCCACUAUGGCUACUUUCUGAUUUCCCAAAAUGUGUCUGCUACAGUUUUAAAUGUAUAUUCUCUCCGAAAUUCCUGUUGUAACUUAAUCCCCACUGUGGUGGUGUAUUAGUCUGUCCUUAUACUGCUAAUAAAGACAUACCCAAGAUUGGGUAAUUUAUAAAAGAAAGAGGUUUAAUGGACUCACUCUUCCAGAUGGCUGGGGAGGCCUCACAAUCAUGGCAGAAGACGAAGGAAGAGUAAAGGAACAUCUUAUGUGGUGACAGGAAAGAGAGCUUGUGUAGGGAAACUCUCCUUUAUAAAACCAUCAGAUCUCAUGAGACUUAUUCAAUAUCAUGAGGACAGCACAGGAAAGGCCCGUCCAAUGAUUCACUUACCUCCCACUGGGUCCCUCCCAUGACACGUGGGAAUUAUGGGAACUACAGUUAAAGAAGAGAUUUGCGUGGAGACACAGUCAAACCUUAUCAGGUGGUAUUAAGAGACAGGGCCUUUGUGGAAUGAAUUAAAGCACUUAUAAAAGAGGCUUCAGAGACCGUCUUCCCUCUCUUUUCCUUCCACCCCUCUGCCAUGUGAGGACACGGCAUCCCUUCCCUCCUGAGGAUCCAGCCACAAGAUGCCAUCUUGGAAGCAGAGAGACAGGGCCCUCACCAGCCACCACCUUGAUCUUGGACUGCUCAGAUUCCAGGACUAUGAGAAAUAAGUUUC